rnacentral:rRNA from 1 species
AACGAACGCUGGCGGCGUGCUUAACACAUGCAAGUCGAACGCGAAAGGGACCUCGGUCCUGAGUAGAGUGGCGCACGGGUGAGUAACGCGUAAGUUAUCUACCCCUCCAUCUGGAAUAACUCACCGAAAGGUGUGCUAAUACCGGAUACGUUGGAAACAAGAAAGGUGGCCUCUUCUAUGCUACCGUGGAGGGAUGAGCUUGCGUACCAUUAGCUAGUUGGUAGGGUAAUGGCCUACCAAGGCAACGAUGGUUAGCGGGUCUGAGAGGAUGAUCCGCCACACUGGAACUGGAACACGGACCAGACUCCUACGGGAGGCAGCAGUGAGGAAUAUUGCGCAAUGGGGGAAACCCUGACGCAGCGACGCCGCGUGGAUGAUGAAGGCCCUUGGGUCGUAAAAUCCUGUCAGAUGGAAAGAAAUGUACAUGUGCUAAUAUCACUUGUAUUUGACGGUACCAUCAAAGGAAGCACCGGCUAACUCCGUGCCAGCAGCCGCGGU